rnacentral:rRNA from 1 species
CAGCACGGGUGCUUGCACCUGGUGGCGAGUGGCGAACGGGUGAGUAAUGCGUCGGAACGUACCGAGUAAUGGGGGAUAACGCAGCGAAAGUUGUGCUAAUACCGCAUACGCCCUGAGGGGGAAAGUGGGGGACCGCAAGGCCUCACGUUAUUCGAGCGGCCGACGUCUGAUUAGCUAGUUGGUGGGGUAAAGGCUUACCAAGGCGACGAUCAGUAGCGGGUCUGAGAGGAUGAUCCGCCACACUGGGACUGAGACACGGCCCAAACUCCUACGGGAGGCAGCAGUGGGGAAUAUUGGACAAUGGGCGCAAGCCUGAUCCAGCCAUGCCGCGUGAGUGAUGAAGGUCUUAGGAUUGUAAAGCUCUUUCACCGAUGAAGAUAAUGACGGUAGUCGGAGAAGAAGCCCCGGCUAACUUCGUGCCAGCAGCCGCGGUAAUACGAAGGGGGCUAGCGUUGUUCGGAAUUACUGGGCGUAAAGCGCACGUAGGCGGAUAUUUAAGUCAGGGGUGAAAUCCCGCAGCUCAACUGCGGAACUGCCUUUGAUACUGGGUAUCUCGAGUAUGGAAGAGGUGAGUGGAAUUCCGAGUGUAGAGGUGAAAUUCGUAGAUAUUCGGAGGAACACCA